rnacentral:rRNA from 1 species
GACGAACGCUGGCGGCGUGCCUAAUACAUGCAAGUAGAACGCUGAAGAGAGGAGCUUGCUCUUCUUGGAUGAGUUGCGAACGGGUGAGUAACGCGUAGGUAACCUGCCUUGUAGCGGGGGAUAACUAUUGGAAACGAUAGCUAAUACCGCAUAACAAUGGAUGACACAUGUCAUUUAUUUGAAAGGGGCAAUUGCUCCACUACAAGAUGGACCUGCGUUGUAUUAGCUAGUAGGUGAGGUAAUGGCUCACCUAGGCGACGAUACAUAGCCGACCUGAGAGGGUGAUCGGCCACACUGGGACUGAGACACGGCCCAGACUCCUACGGGAGGCAGCAGUAGGGAAUCUUCGGCAAUGGGGGCAACCCUGACCGAGCAACGCCGCGUGAGUGAAGAAGGUUUUCGGAUCGUAAAGCUCUGUUGUAAGUCAAGAACGGGUGUGAGAGUGGAAAGUUCACACUGUGACGGUAGCUUACCAGAAAGGGACGACUAACUUCGUG